GUCGGGGUGGUGAAACUGGUAGACACGCUAGUCUUAGGAACUAGUCCUUCACAGGAUGAGGGUUCGAGUCCCUCCCCCGACA
rnacentral:tRNA from 1 species